AGCAGCCGCGGUAAUUCCAGCUCCAAUAGCGUAUAUUAAAGUUGUUGCAGUUAAAAAGCUCGUAGUUGAAUUUCGGGAUCAAAUUGUUGGUCGUGCUUCGGUACGCACUGGCAUUAUUGGUUCCUACCUUCUGAAGAACCGCGAUGUCAUUAAUUUGGUGUCGUGGGGAAUCAGGACUGUUACUUUGAAAAAAUUAGAGUGUUUAAAGCAGGCUUACGCUUGAAUACAUUAGCAUGGAAUAAUGAAAUGGGACGUUUGAUUCUAUUUUGUUGGUUUCUAGGAUCGACGUAAUGAUUAAUAGGGAUAGUUGGGGGCAUUAGUAUUCAAUUGUCAGAGGUGAAAUUCUUGGAUUUAUUGAAGACUAACUACUGCGAAAGCAUUUGCCAAGGAUGUUUUCAUUAAUCAAGAACGAAAGUUAGGGGAUCGAAGACGAUCAGAUACCGUCGUAGUCUUAACCAUAAACUAUGCCGACUAGGGAUCGGAUGAUGUUAAUUUUUUAAUGACUC
rnacentral:rRNA from 1 species